rnacentral:rRNA from 1 species
UACGUAGGUGGCAAGCGUUGUCCGGAUUUACUGGGCGUAAAGAGCGCGCAGGCGGUCGUUCAAGUCGCGUGUGAAAGCCCCCGGCUCAACUGGGGAGGGUCACGCGAUACUGAUCGACUGGAAGGCAGGAGAGGGUAGUGGAAUUCCCGGUGUAGUGGUGAAAUGCGUAGAUAUUCGGAAGAACACCAGUGGCGAAGGCGGCUCACUGGCCCGGUACUGACGCUGAGGUGCGAAAGCGUGGGGAGCAAACAGG